GGUGGCGGAAGUUUUGAACGACACGGAGAACGAGAUGGCAAACUUUUCCAAAGAACUCACUUGUUUUAUUAAUAACGGUGUUUAUCAUCCCUCACUGCCACCUCGAAACACGUUGACGGCCGAAAAAGGGUGAUUCGGAGGGCGACCGGGCUCAGCUACACCUGAUGAGCGGCUGUUUAACAGCUGGAGAGGAAAUUCCCACCUGGCGGCAGCGGACCGAGAUCAGAUGCACAACAUGUUGACAGGACAUCACGACAGCGUGGGACGUCCAGGGAGACAGAGGACUGGACAGAGUGUCGGCUUCGUACCACUGGAAUCGUCCUGCUGAGGAAGUGGAGGAAUGGAGUUUGUCAGACUUCCUCGACGCCGCUCAGAGAGCGGAGGAUGGCGCCCCGGUCGCUGUGAACGGCCUCGGAGCAGCAGACGGAGGCUGCUGACGUCGGUGAUCGGCAUCAGAAGGAUUUGGUGAAGUUCAUGGGAAUCUGAGAGGCCAGAACGCACAGAAGACCCCGGGAAACGGUGGAGGAUCAGAAACGGGCGCCAAUCGAACGGGAAUGCCGUCCUUUUCCACCGCCUCGCUCUGAAUCUCCAAAGCUGCUGAUGAGCAGAUUUCCUCUGAAAAUACUUCUUUGCUGGUUUGACUGAAGACUCUUCAUGUUGGAGUCGAGCUGUUUCACUCUUCAGUGGGAUUCUACUUGUUGAAUUUGGAUUUGUCGAAGUUGUUUACACCAGUUUAAGUGGAUCAGAGAUUCCAGAUUGUUCCUUUCUUUUCCCGACAGCACAGAGUGGAGUUGUGAUUUGUUGUUGUGACUGAAUAAAAUUAAAUCAGUUCAUCAUUCUGAGGAGAAUUUUGUUUCUAUCGGUGAGGCUUACAAGAAUUCCAGCCAAGUAGAGCUUCUUCCAGUGGAGCUUUUAGAUUCAAACAACUAAUGAUUCUAGAUUAGAGUGACCUCUGACCUCUGGUUGUUUGUGGAUUUCCUCCUGACUUCUGGAUUCUGGUCACAAUUUCUAUCAUCCAGACGUGAUGAAAUCGUUUUUGUUUCCUCCGUUUUGCUGUGAACGUCGUGCUGCACUGCCGUGGCCCACAGCCAGAGGACAGCUGGGUCUAUUUCUGUUUCUUUAUGCUUUUGCACAUUUGUGAUUCAGAGUUGUGAUGCACAUAAAUGAGACUGUCUGUUCUGGAGCUACGAAGACCUCUGGACUGCAUGCAUGUGUGUGUAGAGAUUACUUAUUGACUCAGAAAAAGAAGAAAAAUAAAGAACUCUGAAUACAAAAUCCCCUUGGGGACAAUUAUAAUAAACCAAUAAUAUGCUUAUUUUCUAUAAAUACUAUGCAAUAAAAAAACUAAACCUUUAUUCUAUUUAUU